rnacentral:tRNA from 1 species
GCCCUAGUAGCUUAGCUAUAAAGCAUCGGUUUUGUAAUCCGAAGACCGGAGGUUUAACUCCCCCCUAGCGCC